rnacentral:rRNA from 1 species
CACGUAGGCACCAAGCGUUGUCCGGAUUUAUUGGGCGUAAAGAGCUCGUAGGCGGUUCAGUAAGUCAGGUGUGAAAAUCUUUGGGCUUAACCCCAAAGCGUGCACUUGAUACUGCUGUGACUUGAGUUCGGUAGGGGAGUGGGGAAUUCCUAGUGUAGCGGUGAAAUGCGCAGAUAUUAGGAGGAACACCGGUGGCGAAGGCGCCACUCUGGGCCGAAACUGACGCUGAGGAGCGAAAGCGUGGGUAGCAAACAGG